UACGUAGGGCGCAAGCGUUGUCCGGAAUUAUUGGGCGUAAAGAGCUCGUAGGCGGCUUGUCACGUCGAUUGUGAAAGCCCGGAGGCUUAACCUCGGGUCUGCAGUCGAUACGGGCUAGCUAGAGUGUGGUAGGGGGAGAUCGGAAUUCCUGGUGUAGCGGUGAAAUGCGCAGAUAUCAGGAGGAACACCGAUGGCGAAGGCAGCUCGCUGGGACGGUACUGACGCUGAGACGCGAAAGCGUGGGGAGCAAACAGG
rnacentral:rRNA from 1 species